GAUGAACGCUAGCUACAGGCUUAACACAUGCAAGUCGAGGGGAAACGACAUCGAAAGCUUGCUUUUGAUGGGCGUCGACCGGCGCACGGGUGAGUAACGCGUAUCCAACCUGCCCAUCACUUGGGAAUAACCUUGCGAAAGUAAGACUAAUACCCAAUGAUAUCCCACGAAGGCAUCGGAAUGGGAUUAAAGAUUUAUCGGUGAUGGAUGGGGAUGCGUCUGAUUAGCUUGUUGGCGGGGUAACGGCCCACCAAGGCAACGAUCAGUAGGGGUUCUGAGAGGAAGGUCCCCCACAUUGGAACUGAGACACGGUCCAAACACCUACGGGAGGCAGCAGUGAGGAAUAUUGGUCAAUGGGCGAGAGCCUGAACCAGCCAAGUAGCGUGCAGGAAGACGGCCCUAUGGGUUGUAAACUGCUUUUAGAAGGGAAUAAAGUGGGUCACGUGUGACUUUUUGCAUGUACCUGAUGAAUAAGGACCGGCUAAUUCCGUG
rnacentral:rRNA from 1 species